rnacentral:misc_RNA from 1 species
GAUGAAGAACGUAGCGAAAUGCGAUACGUAGUGUGAAUUGCAGAAUUCCGUGAACCAUCAAAUCUUUGAACGCAUAUUGCGCUCGAGGCUUCGGCCGAGAGCAUGUCUGCCUCAGCGUCGGUAUUACCCCUCGCUUCUCAACCCCUGGUUGAUGCCUGCCUGCCUUUGCAGUUGGCUAGAAGCGGAUCUGGCUUUCCCAAUUGCCUUUGGUAGUUGGGUCAGCUGAAGCACAGAGGCUUGAGCAAGGACCCUUAUUGGGCUUAAACUGGAUAGGUAGAACUGGUCUUAGGACCAACUACACGAAGUUGUUGCUUGUGGUCUUUGUCUGGAGGCCAGCAGGAAACCUUUAUACCUUCGACCUGAGCUCAGGCAAGAUUACCCGCUGAACUUAAGCAUAUCAAUAAGCGGAGGA